AUUAGGGACGCUCAGUCAGAUGAGGCAACAGAGGGUGAGUAAACACUGAGAAGCUUGCUGCUGGUAUACUCACACAACUGACCGAAAGCAGAAGUCAGCAGGAAUGGGAGCUGCAACAAAGCACGAAGAAGAGAAAACAGAAAACAUCCAUUGAAUCCUCUGCCUCUGGUAAUGUAUGGCUCCCAGUAUGCCUCCUUCAAGAGCAUGACUGACCCAAUUACUCGUAUGAGCAAAAGGUAUCUAAAGUAAAUGGCCUUAUUUAUAAUCCUGAAUUAUAAACGGCUGAAGAGGAACAGCCCCAGUAUGCAGCGCCCAGGGAGACCAACGCAGAAGGUAGAAAGUUUCAGAAAGGUGAUGAAAUUUAAGCUGGGCUUUAAAGGCUACAUCAAAUUUGACAAAUGGAAUUGUGAGGAAAGCACAUUAGAAGUAAAGAGUGAACGCACAAAAACAAGAGAACAUCAUGUUUCUAGAGGCUGCCUGCCUUCCUUGGCUAAUGACUUUGCAUCACUCUGACGUCUUGCUCCCAUGGUCGUAUCACCUACUACUGGCCCUGAUCUCACUACUUGGUAUAUGGAACAAAGGGAUAAGGAAGUGACUUGCCUAAGUCACUGAGGAACCUAAUACUGAGAUUAGCACUCAAUGAUUCCUGGCUCUCAGAAUGUGUGCUGCUACCACCAGGCCACACUCUUCCCUCCAGAGAGAAGAUGUGUCAGCACGGAAUUGUGCUGAAGCAAAGAUGUGAAAUAGAAUGAUUACAUAUCUACCUAGUGGGAAGAUCUGGGGAAGAAUCUAUCAGUGCUGGCAGAGAAGCAAACCAUACGACAUCACUCAUCCCCAGAAAGCGAAGUUAAGGGAAAUAAAAAACAAUCUACACCAUUUAGAAAACACAGCCACCCCAUACCCUUGGAAAAAAUACACUAAAACAUCUUCAUCUGAUUUGACCUCUAAUAACAUGAAUCAUUGUCUUAUAACUCACUUUCUUACCUCUUGAUUAUUCUACAGAUCCGGCAUAUAUGAGCAAAAUCUGACAAAAUUCACUCAUUUAAUUUGAAGAUUUUAAUUAUGUAGAAAAAGUAGGUUUGCAUUCUUUCUUAUUAAUAGAGUUCAAAAGACUUAAGGCCUAGAGUCUAGCUUCAGCUAUUAAAAUUAUACAUCAGC